GGGAGGAAUGCUGCCUAGUUUAGCCUCUAACGUGCUUUGUAGUGUUCUUUACUUUUAAGAAACCUAAAAUUUCAACUCGGACAUUCCUGUCACUUUUGACUCUUUUUUCAAAAUCAGUGGAAGAAUCAAGAGUUGUACAUACUACCAUACCUGGCUUCAGUUUUUUACCUUUUUUUAAAUGCUACAGAACAUACUUGCAGAAAAGAGCACAGAUGAGCCUCUGGCACCAAGAACUCUCAUGAAGGAAGCAUGCAAGUCCAACCAUCACUGAUCAGGAAAGUGCAGCCAGUACUCCAGGAGCCAUUUCACAUGUGCUCCCUUCCAAAAAUAACCAUCCACCUGGUUUCUAAUGGUGAUGAUUAGUUUUCUGCCUUCUUGGAAUGUAUAUAGAUGAUGUUCUUUCACUUAUGAUGGGGUUUUAUCCCAAGAAAUACACCUGAAAUUGAAAAUAGAGAUAGGAAAUACAUUUAAUACACUUAACUUACUAAACAUGUUGGCUUAGCAGGAUAGGACACUGUGGAGUACUGCUUGUUUACUUUGGUGAUAGCUGGCCUGACUGGGAGCUGUGGCUCACUGCUGCUUCCAGCAUCCUAGGAGAGUACUGUCCACUAUCGGUUGGCCAAGAAGAGAUUAAAAUUCAAAAAUCGAAGUAUGGUUUCUAUUGAAUGUGUGUCAUUUUCACAGCAUGGAAAAUUUGAAAAAUCUUAAGCUGGGGACCGUCUGUAUUAUUAAGUAGACUCAUACAGGAUGAUCCUGGGGUCUGGCUUCUUUUCAGCACUGGUGAGCAUCAACUCUGAUGUUGCGUACAGUCUGUCAUUGCUGGGUCAUAUUCUAGGGCAGGAAAACAUCACAUUGAUCCAUCCCACUUUUGAUGGAUGUUUGGGUUAGGUUGAGUCCAGUUUUGCUCUGUGACUUUUUAACAACACACUCAGAGCCUUUGCUUAUGGGUUAUGAUCGAUGAGUGCUGCUCCACGUUAAUGACUCUGAUUUAUAGUCCAACUCUAUUUUUGUAGGCACUGGGGAUUGAGACCAGGGGUGUCUACCACUGAGCUGCAUUCCCAGAUCUCUCUCUUUUUUAAGACAAGGUUUCAUCAAGUUGACCCAGCUGGCCUUAAACUUGUGAUCCUCCUGCCUCAGCCUCCCAAGUCGCUGGAAUUACCAGCAUAAUGAGCCACUGGCCCAGUCAGUUCUCCUCAACAGACUUUUAAGCACGUGACCAAAAGCUUCAUGCAUUGCGCCUGUGCGCAUCACACCAGCCAGACCUUCG
rnacentral:lncRNA from 1 species